CUGAACAGUCGCAUGUCUGUGGAGCUCUGCAUCGGCCCCACAGACUAAGAGCCUUACAGAGCAGAAAUCAGCUCCAAAAACGCGCAGCUUACCUGCCACCCGACAGCCGACAACAUGGGGCGCAAACAUAGAAAGCAAACCCACACGGAGCGACCCGCGGCACCCGAUAUCAGGCUGGCAUUUCAGAGGCCUACACAAGCGCGGCCCGCCAAGAUGGUGCCGGAACCGCAGAGUGAGUUAGAGACCUCUGACGACUCCCAGGAAGAGAGGGACUCCCAAGCUUCCCUCCCAGGCCCCACUCC